rnacentral:rRNA from 1 species
AGUGAACGCUGGCGGUAGGCCUAACACAUGCAAGUCGAGCGGACGCACAGUAAGCGUUCGCCCCUAAGGGUAGCGAGUGGCGGACGGGUGAGGCGUACAUCGGCAUCUACUAUUUCGUGGGGGACAUCGUAGGACCACAUACGCUACCACCGCAUAUGUCCUACGGGUGAAAGCAGGAGUUAUUCGCACCUUGCGUGUCUGAUUGAGAUGAAGUCGCAUUAGCUAGUUGGCGAGGUAAAGGCACACCAAGGCGACGAUGCGUAGCUGAUCUGAGAGGAUGAUCGGCCACACUGGAACUGAGACACGGUCCAGACUCCUACGGGAGGCAGCAGUAGGGAAUAUUGCGCAAUGGGCGCAAGCCUGACGGAGCCACGCCGCGUGAGUGAAGAAGGUCUUCGGAUUGUAAAGCUCUGUUAUUAGGGAAGAAAAAAAGUGUAAGUAAAUCUGCACGUCCUGACGGUACCUAAUGAGAAAGCAACGGCUAACUACGUG